rnacentral:rRNA from 1 species
UACGUAGGGACCAAGCGUUGUUCGGACUUACUGGGCGUAAAGGGCGCGUAGGCGGCAAUUCAAGUCAUCUGUGAAAUCUCCGGGCUUAACUCGGAACGGUCAGAUGAUACUGCUUUGCUAGAGUGCGGAAGGGGCAAUCGGAAUUCUUGGUGUAGCGGUGAAAUGCGUAGAUAUCAAGAGGAACACCGGUGGCGAAGGCGGGUCUCUGGGCCGUAACUGACGCUGAGGAGCGAAAGCGUGGGGAGCGAACAGG